rnacentral:ncRNA from 5 species
CCUGUUCUCCAUUACUUGGCU